GAUAAUACGACGGCGGGACGGGGCCCUGGGGGAGCUCUGGGAGCUAGUGUGGCCGCGCCCCCUGCGCGUGUGCUGGGUGCGCGCGCAGUGCUGCUAUGUGCUGGGAAAUUUCCCCAAAUCUGGGAAUUGAGCCUAAAACUUGAUGAGGACUGGUGUACUGCUCUGAGCACAGGGCUAGGAACCAGGAACGUCUGAGUGUUAAUUCUGACUCUGUUGCCGGGGACAAUUCAAGUAUCCUCUUGGACUCAUGUGCCUUCUCUGUAAAAUGGAAUACAAAUCUGCUUUGUACUCCACUCCAGGCAAGAGCCAGUGGAACCAUCCCCUGGUGUAAAGCCAUUUCCUGGGAAGAUAUUCCAAAAUCUUUGGCCUCACCAGCCUCUCAAAGGUCCCAGUUUCCAGGAACAACCAGUUCAGAUGGCUGCUAUUAAUUAAACUGGGAAGAGCAUCUUCAGUCUAAGGGACCAUCCACCAGCUAAGUAAAGAGACUUAAAUUUGCAAAGUAUAUUUCAAGUAAUAAAACAGGGAUUUAUUUCACAUUGUUGCCAGUUAGUUCUGCACAAUGAGGUGUUUAAUUAGAACAGGGGUAGGCAACCUUUCAGAAGUGGUGUGCCGAGUCUUCAUUUAUUCACUCUGAUUUAAGGUUUUGCGUGCCAGUCAUACAUUUUAACGUUUUUAGAAGGUCUCUUUCUAUAAGUCUAUAAUAUAUAACUAAACUAUUGUUGUAUGUAAAGUAAAUAAGGUUUUAAAAAUGUUUAAGAAGCUUCAUUUAAAAUUAAAUUAAAAUGCAGAGCCCCCUGGACCGGUGGCCAGGACCUGGGCAGUGUGAGUGCCACUGAAAAUCAGCUCGUGUGCCGCCUUUGGCAUGCAUGCCAUAGGUUGCCUACCCCUGAACUAGAAUUUCUAGAGUUAAAAUUCUUUGUCUCAUCCUGGGCAUACAAUAAACACCAUCCACAUCUAUUACUUGCCUUUUCCUACAUAUACAGAACUGCAGCAUUUCCUAAUAUUCUUCAUUAAAUUAGGAAUUAAUCUUCA